AUCUCCAGCGGUAGCACAACACAAUUUCUUUAUAUAUAUAUAUUUUUUAAUAUUUAUUUUAUUUAUUUAUUCCCUUUUGUUGCCCUUGUUGUUUUAUUGUUGUAGUUAUUAUUGUUGCUGUCGUUGUUGGAUAGGACAGAGAGAAAUGGAGAGAGGAGGGGAAGACAAAGAGGAGGAGAGAAAGAUAGACACCUGCAGACCUGCUUCACCGCCUGUGAAGCGACUCCCCUGCAGGUGGGGAGCCGGGGUUCGAACCGGGAUCCUUAUGCCGGUCCUUGUGCUUUGCGCCACCUGCGCUUAACCCGCUGCGCUACAGCCCGACUCCCCACAACACACUUUCACGCCUGGGGUGCCAGAGGUCCCAGGUUCAGCACCGCCCCCAUCCCCACAUCACCCUAAGCCAGAGAUGAGCUGUAUCUGCCACCAGGUUCCAGAUGCUACCAUGAUGCCAACUGGACUUCCCUGGCAGAUGACCCCACCAAUGUGUCCUGGAGCCCCACCUCCCCAGAGCCUUGCCCCACUAGGGAAAGAGAGAGACAGGCUGGGAUUAUGGAUCUACCUGUCAAUGCCCAUGUUCAGUGGGGAAGCAAUUACAGAAGCCAGAUCUUCUAUCUUCUGCACCCCAUAAUAAUCCUGGGUCCAUAUUCCCAGAGGGAUAAAGAAGAGGGAAACUAUCAAGGGAGGUGUUUGGAUAUGGAGCUCUGGGAGUGGGUAGUGUGUGGAAAUGUACCCCUCUUAUGCUAUGGUUUUGUCAAUAUUUCCAUUUUAUAUUAAAAAAAAAGUUUACUCUUGUUACUCUUACUAAAUCCAAA